AGAAAUACCCUACUUUACAACACUUGGGAAUAGAGAUCUUGAAAAGUCUUGCAUUGGAAGAUGAUGCAACAGAGAGAAUUGGAGGAACCGGUGGAAUCCUUAAGGAGUUGUGCAACAUCUUUUUCAAGGACUCGACACCUAACAAUCUUGGAGGAACUGGAGGAAUCCUUAAGGAGUUGUGCAACAUCUUUUUCAAGGACUCGACACCUAACAAUCGCGGCCAAGUAAGAACAGCAGCAGGAGAAGCACUAGCUAUGUUGGCACUUGAAAGCAAGAACAACUGCCAUAGGAUAUUGAAACUCAAGGUCACUGGAAAGCUUGUCGAAGCAUUGGAAGUUCCAUUGC
rnacentral:lncRNA from 1 species